rnacentral:rRNA from 1 species
CGGCAGCACGAGAGAGCUUGCUCUCUUGGUGGCGAGUGGCGGACGGGUGAGUAAUAUAUCGGAACGUGCCCAGUAGCGGGGGAUAACUACUCGAAAGAGUGGCUAAUACCGCAUACGCCCUACGGGGGAAAGGGGGGGAUCGCAAGACCUCUCACUAUUGGAGCGGCCGAUAUCGGAUUAGCUAGUUGGUGGGGUAAAGGCUCACCAAGGCAACGAUCCGUAGCUGGUUUGAGAGGACGACCAGCCACACUGGGACUGAGACACGGCCCAGACUCCUACGGGAGGCAGCAGUGGGGAAUUUUGGACAAUGGGGGAAACCCUGAUCCAGCCAUCCCGCGUGUAUGAUGAAGGCCUUCGGGUUGUAAAGUACUUUUGGCAGAGAAGAAAAGGCAUCCCCUAAUACGGGAUGCUGCUGACGGUAUCUGCAGAAUAAGCACCGGCUAACUACGUGCCAGCAGCCGCGGUAAUACGUAGGGUGCAAGCGUUAAUCGGAAUUACUGGGCGUAAAGCGUGUGUAGGCGGUUCGGAAAGAAAGAUGUGAAAUCCCAGGGCUCAACCUUGGAACUGCAUUUUUAACUGCCGAGCUAGAG